UCCAGCUCCAACCACUGCAACUCCAGAUCCCACUACCACAACUCUAGGUCCAACCACCACAACCCCAGCUCCAACCACCACAACCCCAGGUACCACAACUCCAGGUCUAACCACCACAACCCCAGGUACCACAACUCCAGGUCUAACCACACCAACUCCAGCACCAACUACUGCAAUUCCAGCUCCAACCACCACAACUACAGCUACUACAAGUCCAGGUCUAGCCACAACAACAAUGGCUCCAACCGCCACAACUCCAGCUCCAACCACUACAACUCAGAGUCCAACCACCACAACUGCAGCCACCACAAAUAAAACUCUAUCCACUACAACUCCAACUCAAACUAAUAUAACUCCAGCUCCACCUACUACAACUCCAGCUCAAACCACAACAAAGGCAGCAACCACAACUCCGACUCAACCUACUACAACUCCAGCUCCAACUACCACAACUGCAACCACAAAGACUCCUGCUCCAACUACUGCAACUCCAGCUCGAACCACCACAACCCCAUCUCCAACCACCACAAAUGCAACCACCACAACCCUGCCUCCAACUACCAAAACGGCAACCACAACUGCAACCACAACAUCUCCUGCUCCAACUAUUACAAUUCCAGCUCCAACUAUCAGAACUGCAUCCACCAGAACUCCGGCUCUAACCACUACAACUACAGAUCCAACUUCCACAACUCUAGCUCCAACCACUAUAACUCCGGGUCCAACCACCCCAAGUCAAGGUCCAUCCACAACAACUCCAGGUCUAACCACAACUACACCGGUUCCGAACACCACAAGUCCAGCUUUGACCACUACAACUCCAGCUCCAACAACCACAACCCCAUCUCCAACCACCACAACUGCAGCUAAAACAACUCGGGCUCCAACCACUGCAACUCCAGAUCCCACUACCACAACUCUAGCUCCAACCACCACAACCCCAGAUCCAACCACCACAAGUCUGGGUCAGACCACAACAACUCCUGCUCCAUCAACUACAACUCUGACUCAAUCUAUUAUAACUCCAGCCCCAACUACUGCCAUUCCAUCUCUAACCACAACAACCGCAACUCCAGCUUCAACCACUGCAACUCCAGAUCCCACUACCAAAACUCCAGCUCCAACCACCACAACUGCAGCUACCACAACUCUGGCUCCAACCACCACAAGUCUGGGUCAGACCACAACAACUCCUGCUCCAACCACUACAACUCUCACUAAAUCUAUUAUAACUCCAGCUCCAACUACUACCAUUCCAUCUCCAACCAACACAACUGACACUCAAGCUUCAACCACUGCAACUCCAGAUCCCACUACCACAACUCUAGCUCCAACCACCACAACCCCAGCUCCAACCACCACAACCCCAGCUGCCACAACUCCAGGUCUAACCACAACAACUCCAGCACCAAGUACUGCAACUCCAGCUCCAACCACAACAACGGCAGCAACCACACCUUCAGCUCCAACUACCACAACUGCAACCACAAAGACUCCUGCUACAACUAUUACAACUCCAGCUCCAACCACCACAACCCCAUCUCCAACCACCACAACUCCGGCUCCAACUACCACAACUGCAACCCCAAAGACUCCUGCUCCAACUACUACAACUCCAGCUCCAACCACCACAACCCCAGCUCCAACCACCACAACUGUAACCACUACAACUCCGGCUCCAAAUACUACAACUCCAGCUCCAGCUACCAAGACUGCAACCACAACAUCUCCUGCUCCAACAAUUACAACUCUGGCUCCAAACAACACAAGUCUGGGUCAGACCACAACAACUCCUGCUCCAACAAUUACAACUCUUAAUCAAUCUAUUAUAACUCCAGCUCCAACUGCUACCAUUCUAUCUCCAACCACCACAACCCCAGCUCCAACCACCACAACUCCAGCUCCAACUACUACAACUCCGACUCCAACCACCACAAUUGCAGCCAUCACAAAUAAAACUCUAUCCACUAUAACUCCAACUCAAACUACUAUAACUCUGGUUCCAACUACUACAACUCCAGCUCCAACCACAACGGGAGCAACCACGACCACAACUCCGGCUCCAACCAAUACAAGUCCAGAUCCAACUACCACAACUCAGGCUCCAAACAACACAACUGAAAUAACCACAACAGUGAGUCCAACAAACCCAACUCCGGGUCCAACCACUACAACUCCAGCUCCAACUGCUACAACUCCAGAUCCAACUACCAAUGCUCUGGCUCCAACCACUACCACUUCAGGUCAAACCACCACAACUGCAGCUAACACAACUCCGGGUCCAACAACUGUAACUCCAGAUCCCACUACCACAACUCUAGCUCCAACCACCACAACCCCAGCUCUGACCACCACAACUGCAGCUACAGCUACUCCAGGUCUAACCACAAGAACUCCAGCUCCAACUACUACCAUUCCACCUUCAACCACUAGAACUGCAGCCUCCAUAAGUCCAGGUAUAUCCACAACAACUCUGGGUCUAACCUCAACAACGCCCGCUCCAGCAACAACAACUCCGCCUUCCACCACUAAGACUGCAGCCACCACAAUUGCAACCACCACAACUCCAGCUCCAACCACCACAACUCCUGCUCCAACCACUACAACACUCACUCAAUCUAUUAUAACUCCGGCUCUAACUGCUACCAUUACAUAUCCAACCACCACAACUGCAGCCACUACAACUCCCGCUUCAACCACUGCAAAUCCAGAUCCCACUACCAAAACUCUAGCUCCAACCACGACAACUCCAGCUCCAACUACCACAACUGCAGCUACCACAACAAACGGUCCAACCACCACAACUCUGACUCCAACCACCACAAGUUUACCUCCAACCACCACAACUCCAGCUCCAACCACCACAACUGCAGCUACCACAACAAACGGUCUAAGGACUACAUCUCUGGCUCCAACUACUACAACUCCAGAUCCAACCACCACAUCUCCUGCUCCAACCACCACAAGUCUGGGUCAGACCAAAACAACGCCGUCUCCAACCACCACAACUGGAGCUCCAACCACUACAACUCCGGCUCCAACUACUACAACUCCAGCUCCAACUACCACAACUGCAUCCACGAGAACUCCGGCUCCAACCACUGCAACUACAGAUCCAACUACUAUAACUCCUGCUCCAACCACCACAACUCGGGCUUCAACCACAACGAGGCUGGCUCCAACUACUACAACUCCAGCUCCAACUACCACAACUGCAGCCACAACAACUCCAGUUCCAUCUACUAUAACUCCAGCUAAAACUACUAUAACUCCUGGUCCAACCACAAAAACUCCAGCUCCAACCACCAAAACUACAACCAACAUAACUCCGGUUCAGACCACAACAACGCCGGCUCCAACCAACACACCUGGAACUCAAACCACGACAACUCUAGCUCCAAUCACCACAACUACAGAAACAACAACUCCAGGUGCAACAACCCCAACCCCAGGUCCAAUGACUACAACUCCAGUUCCAACUACUACAACUCCAGCUGCAACCACCACGACUGCAGCCACCACAAGUGCAGCUCCAACCACCACGAAUCAAGUUGCAACCACAACAUCUCCAGCUCCAACUACCACAACUGCAGCCACCACAACUCCGGCUCCAACAACCACAACUCUGGCUCCAACCAACACAACUGUAGCCACAACAACUCCGGCUCCAACCACCACAACUGCAGCCAAAACAAGUCCAGCUCCAACCACUACAACUCCAUAUCCAACUACCACAACUCUGGCUCCAACCAACACAACUGCAGCCACCGUAACUCCCGCUACAACCACCACAAGCCCACCUCCAACCACCACAACUGCAGCUACCACAACUCCUGGUCUAACCACAACAACACUUGCUCCAACCACCACAACUGCAGCCACCACAACUCCAGCUCCAACCACCACAACUCCAACUCAAACCACUACAACUCCUGCUCCAACCACCACAACUGCAGCCACCACAAGUCCAGCUCCAACCACCACAAAUCAAGUUGCAACCAGAACAAUUCCAGCUCCAACUACCACAACUCUGGCUCCAACCAACACAACUGUAGCCACAACAACUCCGGCUCCAACCACCACAACUCUACCUCCAACCACCACAACUUCAGCCACCACAACUCCGUUUGCAACAACCCCAAAUCCAACUCCAACCACUAAAUCUCCGGCGCCAACUACUAUAACUUCAGCUCCAACUGCAACCACAACAACUCCUGCUCCAACUACUACAACUCCAUCUGCAACAAACACAACUGCAGCCACUACAACUCCAGCUUCAACCACUGCAAAACCAGAUCCCACUACCAAAGCUCUAGCUCCAACCACAACAACUCCAGCUACAACUACCACAACUGCAACCACCACAACUCCGGCUCCAACCACCACAACUCUUACUCCAACCACCACAAUUCUAGCUCCAACCACCACAACUGCAACCACCACAACUCCGGGUCCAACAACCCCAACUCCGGGUCCAACGAGUACAACUCCAGCUCCAACCAGCACAACUGCAGCAACCACAAGUCCGGCUCCUACCACUACAUCUCCAGAUCCAACCACCACAACUCCUUCUCCAACCACCACAACUGGAGCUCCAACCACUGCAACUGCGGCUCCAACUUCUACAACUCUGGCUCCAACUACCACAACUACAGAAACCACAACUCUGGGUGCAACAACCCCAACCCCGGGUCCAAUAACUACAACUCCAGUUCCAACUACUAUAACUCCAGCUCCAACCACCAAAACUGCAGUCACCACAAGUCCAGCUCCAACCACCACGAAUCAAGUUGGAACCACAACAACUCCAGCUCCAACUACCACAACUGCAGACACCACAACUCCCGGGCUCCAACUACCACAACUGUGGCUCACCAACACAACUGUAGCCACAACAACUCCGGCUACAACCACCACAACUGCAGCCAAAACAAGUCCAGCUCCAACCAAUACAACUCCAUAUCCAACUACCACAACUCUGGUUAUAACUCCGGCUCAAACUACUACCAUUCCAUCUCCAACCACCACAACUCCGGCUCCAACCACCACAACUCUGACUCCAACCACCACAAUUCUAGCUCCAACCACCACAACUGCAACCACCACAACUCCGGGUCCAACAACCCCAACUCCGGGUCCAACGACUACAACUCUGGCUCCAACUACUACAACUCCAGCUCCAACCAGCACAACUGUAGCAACCACAAGUCCGGCUCCAACCACUACAUCUCCAGAUCCAACCACUACAACUCCUGCUCCAACCACCACAACUCCAGCUCAAACCAUCACAAUUUCAGUCACCACAACUCCGGCUCUGACCACUACAACUCCGGCUACAACCGCAACAACUGCAGCCACCCCAACUCCUUCUUUUACCACUACAACCCUGGGUCCAACCACAACAACUCUGGCUCCACCAACCACAUCUGCAGCCACCAAAACUCUGGCUCCAACUACCACAACUGCCGCCACCACAACUCUCACUCCAACAACCAAUACUUCAGCCAGCAUAUCUUCAAUCAGUUCAUCCCAAGGCUUGAAAUCAUUGGCACAUCUACAGAUGAAGAUAACCUCUAUUGGAGAUGUCAGCAAUGGAACCAUCACUGAACGUGUUAAACAGUUUUUUGACCAUCUUCUGAAUGGAACAGCCCACACAGUAACAGUGACAAAGAUCCGGAGGGUUAGAGUUGCCCCAUAGAUACUUCAUGUGGACAGAAAUAGUCCAAAGUGAAUGUAUAAAGACAGCAAUUGAAGGUUGCGGUGGUAUUGUUUCAGCACAAUGUAAAGGGGCAGUUCACCUCAACCGUUUCAUCAUUUCUGAAAAGAGAUCUUUCCUUUGAGUUUUCAACAGCUUGAUCACAACUCCUCAAAUGUCAUUGUAUUAAGACCCAUUACCGCUCUCUAUAAUCCCCAAACAGUAUUGUCAUUACUACGCUGUUGGCUGUUUUACAGGAAUGUGAAUAGUGGCAAUGUGUAUGUGGCUCAAGUGUCAAAUGAUUUGCAUGGCACAAUGGGAAGCUCAAACGAAGUAGUCUGACCUGUCAAAGAGGUUUUUAAGUGGUGUCAAUAAUUCCCAUGCUCUGUAAGUGGAGGAGCAGCCAUAUUGACGAGCCUGGUAUCCAGGAAACUAGUUAACUAUGUUUCUCUCUCACCCACUCCCUUUUAUUAUAUACCAAUAAGGAACUGUUUCACACAAACCAUUGGCAACGAUUAACCUUAGUAAGUGCCUCAUACAAGGUGUAUAACGUUUGUGAUUGUACCCCGAAUCAGGGAAAUUAAAUCUUUCAAGUAUUAGGGACAAAAAGCACAGUAAUAUCUACUGAACGUGUGUUAUCUAGUGCCAUCAAGGAUUGAUUUAUUAAGCUUAGAAUGUGGCUUUCUAAUUGAUUGAAAAACCAGAGCUCUGCAUAUUUGUUUUAAUGUACUGUGAACAACACCAAUGUAUAUUUCAGUCCAGAGAAGGAAGUCUAAGACAUUCUGUGUGCAGGUUAAUUGGGCUUGAGAUGUAUAUUAAUGAUUAUGUGUGUAUGUUUGUGUGGUUUUGGCUAUUUGCACUAUUUAAGCAGGAUAAGAUAUUUGUCCCAGUCGGUUUAUUCUAUUGCUGCAAGACAGUAUAGCCUAUGUGUUUUUAUUAUUUUUACACCUGCAAAUGGGAUAUGUAGGCAUAUUUUCUUCCAACAUCACUGAUAUUAAUAUUUUUCCAAAUGAUUAUGUUUGUACUAAAAUUAUUUAUUUUAUCCGACUCGCUAAAAUCACUUUCACUUAAGGCUAUAUGACAAUUUCUGCACUUUUAUACCUAUAUAACCCUUGACUUUCUGGUUUUGCUUACAUUUAACGCGAGAUCUAUUUGAAGUGCCCUUCUUUGCAUUCUUUAAUGAAUCCUUCUAAAAUAAACAAUUUAACAUUUGAUGUUAAAACAAAUAUAAUACCCUUGUCAUAGUCAAUACCUGUCUCUUUAACUCUUUUUAAAGACAUCAUUGUUUUCAUAACAUUACUAGAAUUACAGUAUGUGCACAGCUGCUGUUAUACAAUGCUGACUCUCUGAAUGAGUAAAGCUUUAAAUUCUGGUCUUGGCUCCCUCAUCGGGUCACACAAUUUAUAGUGACUUAUUCAACAAACUGUUCAC
rnacentral:lncRNA from 15 species